UUGGAACUUCGAGAAUAUUAUGUUAUUAUCUGGCUUCUGUAUCUUCUGAUGUGAAGUCAGGGUUCACUCACUCUUUCUCAUUUGAAGAUUAAAGGGGACAUGACUGGCCUUUGCCCUUUGAUAAGUGAAGGAACAGAAGAUGAUGAUUAUUUGUAAGAGAAGAAUCACCAGUCACUGAAUGAAGAGUUGAAUGAUUCUCCUGUGAAUCAGAGCUCUCCCUGUCUCCCCAAAUUCCAGCUUGGUGGAGUAUACAACAGUAAGGUGACAUGAUCUGGGAAGGAGGGUGUGCAUCUCCGUUGCAUAAUACUCCAAUGGAAAGAAAGGUUUUGGUGUACUCCAUUCAUCCAUUCAUCAUUAGACUGUGUUUCCCCAGAGAUGAUAAGAUGUGACUGCCUGAAGCAAUGCAUAUUGUCUCUUCCUGGGUAGACCUUUCCUUCUUUCCAAGAUGAGUUGUGCUGGAUAUCAGGGAAAGAAACUUCAAGAUUUCUUUUACUGCACUAUUAAGUCUAGAGCCUAGAACAACAUAUUAUCAACUUCCUUGCAUUCCUCUUUAUCAUCAGCAAAUACCCCGUAAAGUCCCCCAUGUGCAAGCUUCGUGUCAUGUGCAUGGACUUCUAUGCAUAUCAGGUUAGAGUCCUUACCUCCUGAGGAGCUCAGCAUCAGAUGGAGGGAAGGCUGAAUCAACAUGAUGGUUUCUCCCCAAAAUAAAGGAAAAUGAAAAGCAAAAGUGAAACAACACACCUAGAAUUAUCUGUUAUUCUUAUCCACAAUAUAGGAUGACAGACUGCCCAUGCAGUGAAGGUUAGGCAGUGGUACAGGGUCAUGCUGAGAGAGGAUCGACUGGCAAAUAUCUCAGACAACGAAGGCAGAGCCCAGGACUCCAUCCUAAGUGGUGCAUUCAGACAAAUAAAACAAGCAAUUCUCUUGGAACAACAGAAACGGGGAGAGCUUUCCUGGAUACUGUUUGGAAUGAGUCUUUCAAAGCAAGAAAGUGAGGGUUAAACAAUGGAUUACUAUAACCCAGGCUUCUUCCUGUGGCCAGAUAGAGUAACAGGGACCAGAUGUACAUUUUCACCUGAAACAACCCACUGAAAAAAGGACAAAAUUUAUAAAACAAUGGUUUCCAAGAACCUGUGAUCCAUGAAAGAUGGGAAAAAAUGAAGUAAGUCCUACUGUUUCCCACACUUACUGCCUUUAGAGAAUUUUGGGUUCUGGAGCAGGAAGGGGUAACUCAGAGCCCAGUGGACACCCUGAACUAAGGAGAUGGGUUGGGAAUCUGAGGAAGUCUAGGUGGCUAGAGUUUGCAGGGCAGACAGACACAGAGAGGAGAGAGCUGCCCACAAAGACCAGCCUGGACAUCUGCAGAGGCUGACUGUGAGGAUUCAGCAGAACACGGAUCAGCAUGGGCCAUGAGGAAACUGCUCCUGACUUGGGAAAGAACCACCCAGAAGGACUAUAGGACAGCAUACCUGGUGCUCAGACAGGAGCAGAAUAGUGCCCGUUUCCACCAGCCAGACUGGACACCUCAACAUGUAUGAUGCGUUAGUGGAGUGCUCAGAGGAGUCUUGCCUGGCAGUGAGGGGUAAGCAGCUUUGGAAGGAAUGCCACUGUGGGCUUUCCUAAUGAUUGCUGAACGUUAGGCUCAAAAGGAGCAAGCUGUUUGAAGAGAUUCCAUAACUCAGAUUUGCAGGAAGCUAGUUUUUGGUGAGACAAGUAGAAAAGAAGUCUGCAGCGUGGAAGGCCCUGCAUGGCUUGCCUUGAUUGCUGGUGAGAAAUGGCUACAAAUGGCUAUGAGAUCUCACAUGCUUCACCCCACCAGCAGCCAUGAUGAGAAUCCCUGCAAACUCCAGCCUACCACCAGCAGCUGAGCUGGAGAAUUUCCACAUUCAGAGAUGAGUAGUAAACAGAAAAGCACAGAAAAUCUAUCUUUAAAAAUAAUCAAAGGCACAGGAAAAACAAAAAUGGGAUAUUACUAGGGAAGGAUACCUCAACAAGAGCACACAUUUCAGAAGUUACCAUAGAUUAAAUGGAAAAUACGACUGAACAGAUCACCAAGAUGUUUUGGGGGUAGAAUACAAAUGCUUUUAUCGAAUAAAAAUCCAAGGGAGAACAAUGUGGAGGUGCCAGAGGUCCUGGAAGAUAAAGCAUGAGGCUAGAACGAGAUAGGAUCAGGAGUGCAACAGCUUACAAAAGAAAAGGAGGAGAAAAAUAAAACCAUCACAGAGAAGGGCACACUUACAGAACAAGGGAGAACAGACUGAAGAAAACAAACAAGCAAACCAACAAGCAAACCAAUAAAUGAACAACAGCCCUAAGAGAUGCAGAGGUCAGGAUCAAGAAUAGGGAGCACAAAGAAAUGGAAUGAACAAAAUUAAAAACAAUGGAAAUGGUGAAUAUGAAAGAGAAACAAGGGGG